ACGAACGCUGGCGGCGUGCUUAACACAUGCAAGUCGAGCGGUAAGGCCCUUUCGGGGGUACACGAGCGGCGAACGGGUGAGUAACACGUGGGUGACCUGCCCUUAGCUCUGGGGAUAAGCCUGGGAAACUGGGUCUAAUACCGGAUAUGACUCCAUAACGCAUGUUGUGGGGUGAAAGCCUUGUGCGGCUAGGGAUGGGCCCGCGGCCUAUCAGCUUGUUGGUGGGGUGAUGGCCUACCAA
rnacentral:rRNA from 1 species